CCUACGGGCGGCAGCAGUGGGGAAUAUUGCACAAUGGGCGCAAGCCUGAUGCAGCCAUGCCGCGUGUGUGAAGAAGGCCUUCGGGUUGUAAAGCACUUUCAGCGGGGAGGAAGGCGUUAAGGUUAAUAACCUUGGCGAUUGACGUUACCCGCAGAAGAAGCACCGGCUAACUCCGUGCCAGCAGCCGCGGUAAUACGGAGGGUGCAAGCGUUAAUCGGAAUUACUGGGCGUAAAGCGCACGCAGGCGGUCUGUCAAGUCGGAUGUGAAAUCCCCGGGCUCAACCUGGGAACUGCAUUCGAAACUGGCAGGCUAGAGUCUUGUAGAGGGGGGUAGAAUUCCAGGGGUAGCGGUGAAAUGCGUAGAGAUCUGGAGGAAUACCGGUGGCGAAGGCGGCCCCCUGGACAAAGACUGACGCUCAGGUGCGAAAGCGUGGGGAGCAAACAGGAUUAGAUACCGGGUAGUC
rnacentral:rRNA from 1 species